rnacentral:tRNA from 1 species
GACCUCGUAGCUUAGCUGGUAGAGUAUGUGCGUACAAAGUGAGGGCGACAUUCAUGCGUGGAUUCGAAUCCCACCGAGGCUA